rnacentral:rRNA from 1 species
AUGAACGCUGGCGGCGUGCCUAAUACCUGCAAGUCGAGCGAACAGACGAGGAGCUUGCUCCUCUGACGUUAGCGGCGGACGGGUGAGUAACACGUGGAUAACCUACCUAUAAGACUGGGAUAACUUCGGGAAACCGGAGCUAAUACCGGAUAAUAUAUUGAACCGCAUGGUUCAAUAGUGAAAGACGGUUUUGCUGUCACUUAUAGAUGGAUCCGCGCCGCAUUAGCUAGUUGGUAAGGUAACGGCUUACCAAGGCGACGAUGCGUAGCCGACCUGAGAGGGUGAUCGGCCACACUGGAACUGAGACACGGUCCAGACUCCUACGGGAGGCAGCAGUAGGGAAUCUUCCGCAAUGGGCGAAAGCCUGACGGAGCAACGCCGCGUGAGUGAUGAAGGUCUUCGGAUCGUAAAACUGUGUUAUUAGGGAAGAACAAAUGUGUAAGUAACUAUGCACGUCUUGACGGUACCUAAUCAGAAAGCCACGGCUAACUACGUG